AGAGGUUAACUAAAGGACAGGAAGAUGGGGCCAAGAGAUGGUGCUACUGUCUACUUUAGGGAUCGUCUUUCAAGGCGAGGGGCCUCCUAUCUCAAGCUGUGAUACAGGAACCAUGGCCAACUGUGAGCGUACCUUCAUUGCGAUCAAACCAGAUGGGGUCCAGCGGGGUCUUGUGGGAGAGAUUAUCAAGCGUUUUGAGCAGAAAGGAUUCCGCCUUGUUGGUCUGAAAUUCAUGCAAGUAAGUGGACUUCAUUGUUCCCAUUUUGAUUCCUUCAUAGUAUAGGAGAACACUGUGAUUAACCUGUUUCUCCCCGUCUUUCUUAUUUAAAGUUCUCCACGGUAGAGUGAACACAAGUGUCUUGAGACCUGGAAACUCCUCAGUGCCCUAGCGUUUGGCUACAUCUUGGAACAAACCAAGUUAUUUAGGAUUUUCCAAAAUAGUCUCUGUAAUAGGAGGUGCAUUGCUACGGGAAAAGCAGUGCAGAGUUCCACAUAUGACUGCAUCUCUGUAAUUUCUGACU
rnacentral:lncRNA from 1 species